CACCCACCCAGAUCUCAUGACCUGACUGACACACAGAGGAUGAUGUCAGGCUGGGGGUCUGGACGCCUUCCCCUAGGUUAGCCCCUACUCACCGAGCCAAGGUGCGCCCUGUUGCCUCAGAUCCGCCUGUUUUCAGGUCAUCACAGUUCACCACAGCUGGAAGCAGUGCCCGCUCUGGGUGUACAAGGGCCAUGCUACUGAGUGCCUGAGCCACAAGCUCCACCAUGUCGUGGACGACAGCUUCCAGAGAGUGUUGUUCGGUUUCCCCCAGCGCCAGCACGCCAGGUGGCAGACCAGUCGUGGGCAGUGCCUCAGCGGGCAAUGGUGUGCCCAGCAACCACUGGGGACCCGGUGGUGCAGCCUCUAGGACCUCAUGUGCACGGGCAGUGCUGCAGCCUAGGAGGACUGCUGCAGGCACUGGGGUUCCCCCUCCUUCCAGCGCCCCCAACAGGGCCAGUCCAGCCCGAAGGCUGUCAUUCCUGCUGUCCAGCCGGCUCAGGUCCAGCACAAACUUUGGAGCCUGGCUAGCAUGGUUAGUCCAGAGUGUCACCAGGCCGCCAGGGUCCCGGACACGGCAGAGUACUAGAGCAAUGUCCUCCCAGGCAUGUGCCCGUACCAGGGACACCAGCACAUCCAGUAUGGUCUCCAGGGGACUAGCCCAGUCCAGCUGCAGAUGGAACGGAGUCUGGGAAGAGGUGGUUCCUGUCAGGGCUGUCCACCUUUGUGUGCACAGUCCCAGCCACCCACCCUGUAAAGGAAUCUAUGUCUUACCCUGCCUUCAGCUCACUGGUGUUCAGUGACUCCCCGAUACCCUCCUUUCUUCCUUUCUUUCUGAAAGUAUUUUGCUGCUCAGGUUAGUCUUGAACUUGCUACAUCACUAAGUAACUGUGUAACCUUGAACUUGCUAUGUAACUAAGUAACUUAAGUGUGUAACCUUGAGCUCCUGCUCCUUUUGCCUCUACCUCCAGAAUGCUGGGAUGACAAUCAUGU
rnacentral:lncRNA from 1 species